CACAGCUUAGUUCGCUGCAUCAGUGACCUGAGCAGUGAAAGUUCUUUUGUUUACUUGAAAAUCACUAUUUCAUACAAUUACAUGAGUUUCUUUCAUAUUUCGAAAUCAUAUUUCGUAUAAAGACAAACGUGUGUAGUAUAAGAAUAAAAUAUGCAAAGUAAAUUGAAUGAUACUAAAGACAAUAAAAGCAUGGUGAAGCCAUUACGAGACUAAGCCAGUUAUAAUACAUAGUUACAACGAGUGCAAUACUGCAAAGAUCUGGAUCAUAUUUAACUGUAAAAAGAUGAAAUUUUACAUAUUUUUGAAUUUUAAUUUUGAUUUCGCAUGAAUUUCUAUUAUAUAAUUCCAAAUACUGCAUAAUAUAAAAAGAAUUAUUUAAUAUAACGUUAACAUUUCAUUAUAAAAAAAUUAAUACGACCAAAAUAAUAUCAAUAUCAUAAAUGCUAAAAAAUAUUAUAUAUAUUAAAAUAAUAAUCUGGAAAUUAUACAUAAUCGAUAAAUAUGUUGUAACAUGUAAAGAUGAUACAUCGAAUGAAUUUGUUAUACGAUCGAUUAUAACUUUCACGAGUGCGAGUUCUUCUUGUUCACUACUUUACGCUGCACUUAUAUACGCGUCAAAUCACGUCUAAACAUUGCGUUAAGAUAAGCACACGUAUCUUUGAUUCAUAUACAAUAUUGUUUGUGUCACGAAUGCGUUCGAUCCCGUGGAGCUCACGUGCCGUAAAUUAUUCGGUGAGAAUAGCAGAGCAGCCGUGUUGCAACGCAUGCGCAUGCUCGCACUCAAAGCAGAAAUUAAACUGUGGAUCGCUGCGAUCGAAAUAACUCGCGACGGAGAACAGGUUUCCACGGAUUCCUACGAUAGAAUUUGCACCGUAGAUAAAUC